rnacentral:rRNA from 1 species
CGACGUCAAGUCAGCAUGGCCUUUAUAUCCUGGGCUACACACACGCUACAAUGGGAAGGGACAAUAGGUUGCGAAGCCGCGAGGCGGAGCCAAUCCAGCAAAACUUCCCUCAGUUCAGAUUGCAGGCUGCAACUCGCCUGCAUGAAGUUGGAGUUGCUAGUAAACGCAGGUCAGCCAUACUGCGUUGAAUACGUUCCCGGGGCUU